CACAGGGCUGCUAGUAAAGGAUUCGAUUCC
rnacentral:piRNA from 1 species